AGAAUUUACAUUCUCCUUGUCAUCACCUCUGCCUUCUCUCUAUCCUCAGCUUCUGUUUUGCAACAAAUGAGUAGACUUUUAUGUGUCUCAGAUUCAGAUCUCCUCGUAGAAGAGAACCUGCUUGGUCUAAUUAACCUUCAGUAUCCCUGUUUAAGAGCACUUCCUAUCACCCUGUUUUUUAUAUUACUGACCAGCCUUUAUUUAACUACUCUAGACCAAUCAUCUGGGACCAGAAGGGAACCCCAUUCAACAGUGGACUGGAAGUUUGUAACCAACCACACUGCCAAUCAUGUGUGACUGCAAGGACCCAGGAAGUCUGUCUGCCACGUGCCUCUCGGGAACCGCUGGAUAAUGUGCUCCAGAAGAACAAGAACACAGCACAUAACAGAUACGGUAAAUCCAAAAUAGAAAAAUGUCAGAAGUACAUUCUAAAGCAAGAACAAAAAACAAAAUCGACACAGGAAGAAAUAAUUAUGAAAUAGUUUUGGUCUCUGCAAUUUUAUAUAGGCAAUAAUGUAAACACUGAAUAAAAUUGUGUUAAGGGGACACCUGGGUGGCUUAGUUGGUUAAGCAUCCAACUCUUUAUUUCAGCCCAGGUCAUGAUCCCUUGGUUCCUGGGAUGGAGCCUGUGUCAGGCUCUGUGCUGACAGAGUGGAGCCUGCUUGGGAUUCUCUUUCCCUCUCUCGGCCCCUCCCCCACUCAUGCUUGCUCACUCUCUCUUGCCACCUUCCUCUCUCUCUCUGUCAAAAUAAAUAAACUUUUUAAAAAAUUGUAUUAUAAGGAUAAUAGAGGAAAGGAAACAAGAGGUUGUGAAUGCUGAAUUAUCACCUAAGAUAAUAGAAGGUCAGUAAAGUCUAAAAUUGACAAAUCUGGGACUAGAAAUAUUAACAUUUUAUCAAUGCCAGAAAAGGCAUCUUAAAAAAGAGAAGAGACUGGGAAGUGGCUUUCUUGUUGGCACUAUUUAAUUUUUAAAUUAAAAUAAUAAUGUCAUAUAAACCUAACAUUUUAAUGUCAAAAUACUGAUAAGAUGCAAUGGGUAAGUUUCCAACUCUUUUAGUCUGGGGGAACAAACACUUCUGUUGUAGAAUUUUCUCUUGCAAAGAUCCUCAGGAAUUGGAAACAAUGAGAGGUACAUGCUUAUUUAAUGUUCUCUUAGCCCACAGGAUAAGAAUCUUCAAGUUCAUAAUUCUUUAUGGAUACAAAUCUCAAGCGUAAAGCUUUCCCUAAGAAGAAAUCCUAUACCCAGUAUCUAGACUGUAGGACCUGGAGAAUGAAGGUGAACUGGACUCAAAGAUGUCCAUGGCCUUUAAAGUUUCACUGCAGCAUGAAACCAUCUAAAGAUAACUAGACCUGAGGUCACCCGAAGCCUGCAGAGUGCUAUUUAUAGCCAUAUGGUAGAUCCCAACUUUGUAUUUCAGUCAUAACAUAGUACAGUACCGAAGAUAUAUCAUAGUUCAAGUUUCUCCUCUUGAGAUCUAAACUGAAUUUAGGAUUCAGUGACUAGCCAGUGUAGAGAGAAAAAGACUCCGCUUCUAUCUCUCAACAAAUAUUUUCUCUGUGGUUGGUUAAGUUACCCACUACAGAAUUUGCAGGCAAAUUCUAAUAUGAAUUAGUCUAAAAACACUAAUAUGACAGAUUUCCUCACUUAGGUUUACUAGUGUUUUUAAGGACUUUGGAGUGGCUAAUGACCCCAUAGAAGCACUCCUCUGAAGAAAACCGUAUUUUUCCAAAUCAUAAGUUUCCAAAUAUAAGUUAGGCUGCAGCAAUGCAGGCUAUCUUAUGAACUUGCUUUGUGCAUGAUUGCAUUACUACUGUGAUACCCUUGGUACUUAAGUCUGGGGGAAAGUACUUCUCUAACAAAAGACCAGUUUCUUAGUUUUCCCAUGUCUGUCCCCAUAGUUCCAUGGGAUUUUAAUCCACUCAGUACCCAUAUCUUCCUUUUAGGAGGAGACUAACAUCUACUCUAGAGUCAUGUAAAGCAACCAAUGCUCUUGAUAUUUUCCCAAGAGUUGAAGAAAAAUUUUUAUUAGCAGAAGGUCUCUGGUUUUAUGCCACAAUAGUCUUCCCACAGUACUUUGUGGAAGUAAAUAAUCCAGCCUCCUUCUCCUGUUUCAGUUUUCAAAAAUGGUAAAAAUGUCACAAAUGGUAUCUCUCAAGAUUUUGAAUCUAAACCUGAAACUCCCAGGAAUACUCUCAGCCAUCUAUUCUCUCAGCGUAAAAUGUGCUCUAGGACCACUUGGAUUGCUAUCACUGGGGCGCUUACUACAGAUGCACAUUUCUGGUCCCUCCCGGAUUUACUGAAUCAGAAUUUCUAAAGAGGACCAAGAAACAGAAUUUCUACUAUCAACCUAGAAGAUUCCUUUCCUACACCAACAGAAUUCUACUUCUUUAAUAAUGGGUUGUUGACUUUUAUUUAUCAAAGGUUACUGUGAGACACAAAUAAAAUCUAUUUUUUUAGUGCU
rnacentral:lncRNA from 1 species